AUGAUGUCUUUUGACUUCAUAUUUAUUUUGCAUGUCAUGAAAGAACUUAUGGGAAUCAUGGACAUGCUAUGCAAAAAGUUGCAACAAAAGUCUCAAGAUAUUGUGAAUGCCAUGGAUGAUGUUAAGACUACCAAAAUGUUGAUCCAGGAGCUAAGAGAUAAUGGUUGGAACAAGCUUAAAGCUGACGUGCUUUCAUUCUGUGCCAAACACGGAGUUCAAACACCACAUUUGAGUGAGUUAUAUGUGGAUUUCAUUAAUUCUCGUGCGGAGGAUGAGACUACAGUUGAGCACCAUUAUCGCUGUGACAUUUUCAUGGUUGCUGUUGAUCAGCAAGCACAAGAGCUGAAUUGUAGACUCAACAAACAAGCAACAGAGCUUCUCAUCCUCUGUACUCCCUUGGACCCAAAAGAUUCAUUCCGUUCAUUUAACAUAGAUAAUAUAUGUUCUCUUCUAUCCUGCUGA
rnacentral:rRNA from 1 species